rnacentral:rRNA from 1 species
AGCGAACGCUGGCGGCAGGCUUAACACAUGCAAGUCGAGCGGGCGUAGCAAUACGUCAGCGGCAGACGGGUGAGUAACGCGUGGGAACGUACCUUUUGGUUCGGAACAACACAGGGAAACUUGUGCUAAUACCGGAUAAGCCCUUACGGGGGAAAGAUUUAUCGCCGAAAGAUCGGCCCGCGUCUGAUUAGCUAGUUGGUGAGGUAACGGCUCACCAAGGCGACGAUCAGUAGCUGGUCUGAGAGGAUGAUCAGCCACAUUGGGACUGAGACACGGCCCAAACUCCUACGGGAGGCAGCAGUGGGGAAUAUUGGACAAUGGGGGCAACCCUGAUCCAGCCAUGCCGCGUGAGUGAUGAAGGCCCUAGGGUUGUAAAGCUCUUUUGUGCGGGAAGAUAAUGACGGUACCGCAAGAAUAAGCCCCGGCUAACUUCGUG